UUUUGCGGUACUCUGACCGUGCAAAGGUAGCAUAAUCAUUUGCCUUAUAAUUGAAGGCUGGUAUGAAUGGUUUGACAAGAAUAUAGCUGUCUCUUUAUAAUUUGCUAGAAUUUUAUUUGUAAGUGAAGAAGCUUACAUAAAAUUGAAGGACAAGAAGACCCUAUCGAGCUUUAAAAAAACUAACGGAUUAAGAAAUUAUUUAUAAAAAACAAUCCACUAGACAUUUUAGUUGGGGCGACUGAGGAACAAAAAAAGCUUCCUUUAAGGUAUUAGAUAAACGCACGAGUAUUGAUCCAGAAAUUUUGAUUAAAGGAAAUAGUUACCGUAGGGAUAACAGCAUAAUCUUUUUUAAGAGCCCAUAUCGAAAAAAAGGUUUGUGACCUCGAUGUUGGACCAGAAUAUCCUGAAGAUGUAGCAGUCUUUAAGGGUUGGUCUGUUCGACCAUUAAAAUUCUACGUG
rnacentral:rRNA from 1 species